AUUGAACGCUGGCGGCAUGCUUUACACAUGCAAGUCGAACGGUAACAGGGUGCUUGCACCGCUGACGAGUGGCGAACGGGUGAGUAAUACAUCGGAAUGUACCCAGGAAUGGGGGAUAACGCUUCGAAAGGAGUGCUGAUACCGCAUACGCCGUGAGGGGGAAAGUUGGGGACCGCAAGGCCUCACGUUAUUGGAGGAGCCGAUGGCUGAUUAGCUAGUUUGUGAGGUAAAGGCUCACCAAGGCGACGAUCAGUAGCGGGGCGUAGAGGGCGAUACGCCACACUGGAGCAAGGACACGUGCCAGACUCUCACGGUAGGCAGCCGUGGGGAAGCUUAGGCAAGAGUCGAUGGCCUGAGCCAGCGAGGCCGGGUGCGUGAAGGAGGCCGUCGAGUUGUAAAUCGCUGUUGUCUGGGAGCAAAUCCUGGCCUCUAAUACAGGUCGGGGGUGAGAGAACCAGAAGAAGAAGGACCGUCUAACUACGUGCCAGCCGCCGCGGUAA
rnacentral:rRNA from 1 species